AGGACGAACGCUGGCGGCGUGCUUAACACAUGCAAGUCGAGCGGUAAGGCCUUUCGGGGUACACGAGCGGCGAACGGGUGAGUAACACGUGGGUGAUCUGCCCUGCACUUCGGGAUAAGCCUGGGAAACUGGGUCUAAUACCGGAUAUGACCUCCUAUCGCAUGGUGGGUGGUAGGAAAGAUUUAUCGGUGCAGGAUGGGCCCGCGGCCUAGUCCAGUCUUGUUGGUAGGGGUAAUGGCCUACCGAAGGCGACGACGGGUAGCCGACCUGAGAGGGUGACCGGCCACACUGGGACUGAGACACGGCCCAGACUCCGUACGGGAGGCAGGCAGGUGGGAAUAGUGACACGAAGU
rnacentral:rRNA from 1 species